rnacentral:lncRNA from 1 species
CCAACAGCGAUGGCUGCAAACCCUUGGAGGUGGCAUUGCCAAAAGCGGACGUCAAUAGAUGUAAUGCAAAAAUAGUGUCUUGUGUUCAAAAAAGGUUGGGAAAUACUGAGUGAAAGAAUAGUGCACAAACCAUAGGCACACAGCUCAAGGAAUUAUCAGGAAUUGAACAUGUCCACGUGUGCCCAACCCAGCUCUCCAGCACACCUUCCCAGCCUCAACCCAUCAUCUGGAUUCUGAGGAACAGUGCCUGCUGCUCAGUCAAUGCCUGAUGAUGGAGUGAACAGAUUUCUGCUUUCUGUGGCCACCUCUGGGCCACAGAAAGGCCCAGAGGUUACAAGCAACCUCUGGUCUUUGAAGAAGGAGCAAAAGGACAGAGAACAGUGCAAGGCUGGGGCACACAGGGAGAGAAUGUCUCUCUCACAUGUCAACUCCCAUGGUCUCAACUAGGCCUCGGGGGAAAGAGAAUGGGGCAUUCCAGGAUGGGAAUUCCAGGGUGGGCAUUCCAAGGAGUAAGAGGAAUUCUGGGAAGGAGGACACUCGUGAUGCAUGCAUGGCCCAUCCAGAAGGUCCAGGAUCAUCUCCCCAGCCCAAGCCUUUAAUCACAUCUGCGAAGACCCCCCUCUUCCUAUAGAAGGUGACACGGUCCCAGGUUCUGGGAAUUAGGACACAGACACCUCUGUUCAGCUGACCACAGCCACUGGGGGACCCACUGUUGAUCCCCCAUCCAUUCUGAUAAAGGCUUUCAUGAUGUCAGAAACCAUGAACAGCUCAUCUCCUGAUCCUCCACUGCGAGUUUGUGAGCAUCUUAGGGGCGACAUCUGAGGGUCCAUCCUGGUGUUGAUGUGUCAUAGGUGUGGGGGCCUGGUCUGAGGCUGAACGCGCAGCAGGACCAGCCUCUGGCCCUCCCCAGCUGGAAGGGGGGAGUUUUGCACAUCUUGCUCUAUAGCUCACUCUCCCCUGCUGCUCCCACUGAGGCAGUGAGUUCCAGACUGCUCUGGGGGUUACAAGCAACCUCCGGUAUUUGCAGAAGGAGAAAAAGGGCAGAGAAGUAUUAAAAGGAGCCCAAUUUGGAUGUAUCCACUGAGCACUGAAGGGGAGAACUCUUAGGUGGCCCUGUCUCUUUGCAAAUAGCCUCAGGCACUGCAGGCCCCUGAGGCAGCCCCCAGCUGGGACCCUCACUCAGCUCAGCUCAGCUCACAACAGGUAGCAGAGCUGUGCCGACCAGGUAGCCUUGCCCUCCUGGGAAGACAGGGACACCUGCACGAGCCUGAGCCCUCUAGUGGAAACAGCAGCCAUCGGCCAUCAGGCCUCUGCAGGCACCUGGUCCCUCCUGUUGUUGUCUGCACAGCCUGCCCCUCCAGGCCGCCCCCACGCCUGGGUUCUGCCUGCACGCCCAGGCUCAGUGGGGAGGAGUGAGCCCAACAACUGUUUCCCAACCCUGUGCAGACAGAGCCCUGGCAUCUCACCGUCCCUUCCAAAUGCCAGAACCCGCCCUGGGCACCCAUGCCCUGAUGGGUCCCAGCCCCGGGUGACGCCCUCCUUGCAUGGAGUAGGGACCCAAGCAUAUGCGGAAACACUGUGGCCGGGCCCAGGCUCUCUCUCAGUUUUGACACUGUUGCAGGCCUGAUGACCCUUGGGGACACAGUCUCACUGGGUGGCAAGAUGUCCAUUCAGAAUAAAAUAAAAUUAAAAAUUAAAUUAAAACUCAACAAGCUCGUGCACAUGCAGUCACCUGCAUAUUUUGCA